GGAGGGCGGCGGGGACCCGAAGCGCACGGAGGAGGCGGUGCGAGCGGCUGUCCGAGCCGAGGGCGUCCGCCCAGACGGCCACCGUCGCUUGAGCGCGCGGUGCGUGAGCUCAGGCUCGUAUUGCUGACAAACGGCGGGUGGACGAAGCCUGGAGGGGGCGACACCGGCUGCAGCGCUCGAGGGAGUAAGAAGACACGGAGUGAAGAGCUGCCUCAUUUUCCAGAGAGAAUAGGGGCACUGAGAGCUUGGAGGGACGGUGGUAGCUGUCACAGUGUUUUGUCCUGAUUUUUUUACCUCUUGGAAUCCAGAAUGGGCCCCUUCCCCACCCCGCCAGCUGGAUGAGUGAUCACAGUGGAAUAAUGAUGCCAGGAGGCUCAGAGGCCUCUGGAUGCAAAGGUGCCCUGCUGGGUGGUUUUCAACAGGAACCUGUGGAUCAGACUAAAGUGUGACCACCAGGAAAUGAAGACACGGGACGAGCCCUGGGGCAUGAAUGUCCAAGUCCGGCAUCAGUCCCAGCCAGAGGAGGAGAGUGAGGUUGGUCCCUGCAGGACCGCUAGCCUGCCUCGUCCACAAGCAGCCUCUUGCUGUGAAAUAAAAGCAGAGACAGACUGAGGGAACCGAGGAGCGGUUUAAUGGAGGAAAAGAUAAGGAAACCUCAGGGACUCGCCAUUACUCAUUGAUUUCUCGGUAUUGGCUGGCUGCUGGCCUCCGAGGGGCACAGAGAGGCUCCUGGCGGAUCCUGUGAGCGGGCAAGUUUGGGGGACCCUAAAUGCCCAAGUGAUGGGCCUUGGAGCUGACUUGUUCCAUGAACCAGUAGCUCCUACAGGUACCGCUGGCCAUGCUCGCAGGUGAGCGUGGUUGCGGAGGAAUAGGAGCGGGCCCGCCAGGCCGGCACCUACGGGAACCCGCGCGGCGGGAGAGGCGGGGCACGGUCCUCUCUGCGCAGCCGCAGCGGCCUGUGGGAGGAGCUGCCUCUGCCCCACGCAGCGUGUCCGCUCACGUCCCAAGCCCCGCCUCUGCACCCGAGAGCCGCCCUCCCUCGUGGGGGCGGUGCUAGAGGGCCGGCCUGGCGCCGUGGAAGGGCGGCGGCUGUGGGGGAGGUGCGAGCCGGAUGGAAGCCUGACUGGGAUCGGAAAGCCCCCCUCCCGCGUCGGCUGGGACCCCACCGCGCAGUUCCACGGUGGCCUCGGAACCCGGAGGGCCCGGGCCUGCGGCUCUGCCACUCAAGGGCUGUGUCACCUUGGAAAAGUUACCUAAACCUCGUUGUGUACCCCAGUCUCCUCCUCUGUCGCAUGGUGAUCCUGAGUCCCGACCCGACUGGAUGGCUGUGAAGUUUAAAUGAGGUAAUAAGUGCUGAAGGUUCUUUUGAGCAGGGUUUCUUUUACUUAGAAAGAUUUUUAAAAA